AACUCGAUAAUGCAUUUUUAAUCUCCCACUAUAUGCAAAUCCUGAAUCAGAUGAUCAGCCGCAACUCUAGAACGUGCAAUAAAGCAAUAGAAACUAGAAACUAGAAUCACCAUAACGAGAAUUUCAUUAAUACUACAAUCUCCAGCCAACACAAGCCACUGCAACCUACAGGAAAGCCGAUAGCCAGCUGUAAAAUUAACCAAGACCCCCGAAAAGAUCCACAAUCCAGCGAAAAAAUACUGUGUCUUCUGCUUUUUCAACACGCACCACGUUAACAACCCCCAGGAAAAAACAUGGCUACGGCUGCACGGGGAUUAAAAAAUGGCCGCAUAUCAAUCCAUGCCAAAGUUACAACAACGUAAACA
rnacentral:lncRNA from 1 species